AUUAUAAGGCUUACCAAAAGGAACGGGUAGUGAAAGUGGACAGCCAAUCUUUGCCUCAUAUGGUGAACAGGCCCAAGGAAGGAGGCAUGAAUGCCAGAUAUGCCUGUCCGGUAGCCAUUGGUCAAAAUAGCUUAUUAACCUUUCAACACUGAAACAUCUUUCAAUAUUUUUGCUCUCACGUUUAUGGAGAUAUGCGGAUUACUGCUUGUUUGGUAUUGUUUUAUCUACAUACAUGCCUGUGUGUAGAUUUUACAUACCAUGUUAAAGAAGGUAGCCAACCUGGUACUUAUCUUGGGGAUAUUGGCGUUAACACACAUUUGAUGGAAACUGUAUCUUUCAAUGACCCCAGUUCGAUACGAUUCAGCCAACUACAAAAAGAUAUUACAGGCAGUUCUCAGUUAUUCAAUGUCUCUGAAAGAGGAAAAUUGUACACUUCUCAACCGCUGGAUGCUGAGUCUCUUUGUAAAUACAAUACUGAGUGUUUUAAAAUGGUAGAUAUUGCAGUACGAAAAAGAAAAUCUUUUAUUAAGAUAUUAGAAAUCAAAGUAAUAAUAGAAGACGUCAAUGACCAUCAGCCUCAGUUUCCUGUCAAACAAAUCAAUGUUCAGUUUGAUGAAGGGGAUGGGAAAGGAAUGACUAAAUCAAUACCCAAUGCUAUUGAUAGCGAUGUUGGUAUAUUAAAUUCUCAGAUCACCUAUGAGUUGAAAAAUAGUGAGCAUAACCCAUUUAAGCUAGCUGUUUCUAAAAGAGCCGACGGAUCAUACUCUCUUGGAAUUACUUUAGAAAAUAAAUUAGACAGAGAGAAAAAAGACACUUACAUGUUACAAGUUAUUGCCAAAGAUGGUGGUUCUCCACCAAAAGAAGGUGUUUUGAAUGUUCAAAUAACAGUCAGCGACAUCAAUGAUAACCAACCGGUUUUUGCCCAGAGUAUAUAUUAUGUUACUAUUAAUAAUAGAACUCUAAAAAGGACACCAAUUGUAAUAUUGUCUGCAAAUGAUUUAGAUGCCAAUAGAAAUGGUAAAAUUUCCUUUCACUUCAGUUCAAAAACAUCCGAUACUGCCAAAUCUUAUUUCAAAUUGAAUGAAAAUACUGGUGAGAUAUUUUUAGAUGAAAAAUUCAAACAAGUGAAGAAAACUUACAAGUUGUUUAUUGAAGCUAGAGACGGAGGAAUCCCCCCUCUCAGUUCAAUAGCAACUGUAUUGGUAAAUGUUAUGGACAAACAAAAUAAUGCUCCUACAAUAGAUGUUAACUUUUCAGAGUUAACUGGAAAUACAGCCAUCAUAUCUGAGGAAACUGAAGUUGGCAGUUUUAUUGCUUAUGUCAAAGUUACUGACAAUGACAUAGGGAACAAUGGCAAAGUAACUUGUAAAUUAUUUCAUGAAAACCUACAAUUAAAGGGCCUUGGUGAAAAAAGAUAUAAGGUAAUAGUAAAAGCUACUGUUGAUAGAGAAACUAAAAACAAACUAGAUUUCGUAAUUACUUGUGAAGAUCACGGAUCUCCGCCUUUAAAGACAGAAAAAAGAUUUUUUAUUAAAGUUAUGGAUGCAAAUGAUGUACAACCUCACUUUACUAAAGAUACCUUUAAGUUUCUUACCUAUGAAAAUGAAAAAACUGAUUUCCCCGUGGGAUUCAUCAAUGCCACUGACCCAGAUUUGGGUUCUGGAGGUCAACUGUCUUACUCAUUAUUAGGAAGUAAUAAACGCAUUCUCCCAUUUCAAAUCUCAAAUUUUGGAUUUAUCUCAACUACUCAGCCAUUAGACCAUGAACAGCAGGAGGUGUAUGAAUUUAAAGUUUUAGUAAGAGACAAUGGAACUCCUUCAUUAAACAACACAGCAAAGGUUAUAGUUGAAGUUAUGGAUGAAAAUGACAAUGCCCCUUACUUUAUUUUUCCCAGUGUAGACCCUUUCAGCCUUGAUGUUUACUACCAACCUCAAAGCAAAAAUGACAUUACAGUUCUGAGAGCUUCUGAUAGAGACAGUCGUCAGAAUGCUUUUCUGAGAUAUGAAAUAUUUGGAGGUAAUGGUAGAAUGUUAUUUAAAGUUAAUCCAUACACUGGUGUUUUGUCCUUCUCACGAACAGUCUACCAAAAUGAUGCAGGAACGUAUAAUCUUGAGCUAUCGGUCAAAGAUAGUGGUACACCUGUUUUAUCAGCAACAACUACCUUAUCCUUGACAUUAUCUGUUAGUAAUACCACAUCCAAGCUGUUGACAGCAGUGCAUUUGCAAUCAGAUGCCAAAAUACAUAUCAACCUCUUUAUCAUAAUCAUAGUGGCAGCAGUGACAGUAUCUGUUUUGUUAGUUAUUUCAAUAACGGUGUGCAUUGUUAGGAGAAGCAACCAACGAAAUGCCAUUCAUCGGACAGUUUUAGAACCAUCAAACAAUCUUAUGGAUGAAAACAGACAAACUGAAUAUUUAUGUGCUAAACAAAUGUCCUCCAAGCAGGAGUCAAGUCAAAGCAGGACACAAUCAAUCAUAGAAAUUCAUAGCCAAACGCUGAAGAAGGGGACACAUCAGAGCCCUGUGAGAGUGCCAACUGCAAACAGAAAUUGGUUUCCGUAUACAGACACAGAAACAAGGAGACCAUCUCAAGAACUGUAUCCUGCAACCAGACUAACCAAACUUCACUAGUCGUCUUCACAGAUUGCCACGGACAUGUUAACGGCAUCUAGGGACAGGCAUCACAGAAUGGUUAACAUUUAGCAACAGCAGAAGCAGCAGUAUAUUUCAUUCGCUGUCACUUUUUAAAACACCAAUCAGUGAUGAAUAUGAGAAAAUACAUGGCUCAGACAUAUUUGGUUUAAGGAUACAUAUUGACCAAAGCAAUCCAUCCAACGUACCUUUUCCUGUAUUCUCAGCAAGAAUCAAAGACAUCUGAUGGCUGGAAAGAUAAAGCAACUACAGUUAAUGCCCCUUACUGUUAUAGUGAAAUGUCUCCUAUAAUUGACUGUGUUCAUGGCUCCACAAAU
rnacentral:misc_RNA from 1 species